CUGCUUAACAGAAAGAUGGCUAGCACUUAUGAGCUUUUUGUGUUGUUUAUUUUGUUAUUUGGGAAGUCCAGCUCUGUAAAAGUUGAACAGAUCUCUUUGCUUCAAGCCGACGAAACAGACAAUGUAACAAUCCAGUGCAGCCAUGAUGAUAGUAACUUACCAGUGAUGCUGUGGUAUGUGCAAAACAGCCGCACAGCCAUGGCACUGAUUGGAUAUACAUCUACAGCUACAGGAAAACCAAAUUACGAGAGUGGAUUUAUCAGUCGAUUCACACUGAGCAGAAAGAGCAUGACUGAAGGAAAUCUGACAAUCUCUAAACUCAUCCAGUCAGACUCUGCUGUUUAUUACUGUGUAGCCAUUACAGUGAAGGCAGCAGUUCCUGCAGUUCCUCCAGUCAUUUUUUGA